ACCUCAGUAACGGCGAGUGAAGCGGUAAGAGCUCAAAUUUGAAAGCUGGCUCCUUCGGGGUCCGCAUUGUAAUUUGCAGAGGAUGCUUCGGAAGCAGCCCCCAUCUAAGUACCCUGGAACGGGUCGUCAUAGAGGGUGAGAAUCCCGUAUGGGAUGGGGUGUCUGCGUCCAUGUGAAGCUCCUUCGACGAGUCGAGUUGUUUGGGAAUGCAGCUCUAAAUGGGUGGUAAAUUUCAUCUAAAGCUAAAUAUUGGCCGGAGACCGAUAGCGCACAAGUAGAGUGAUCGAAAGAUGAAAAGCACUUUGAAAAGAGAGUUAAAAAGCACGUGAAAUUGUUGAAAGGGAAGCGCUUGCGACCAGACUCGCCUCGGGGGUUCAACCGGCAUUCGUGCCGGUGUACUUCCCCCGGGGCGGGCCAGCGUCGGUUUGGGCGGUCGGUCAAAGGCUCUCGGAAUGUAACGCCUCUCGGGGCGUCUUAUAGCCGAGGGUGCCAUGCGACCUGCCCGGACCGAGGAACGCGCUUCGGCUCGGACGCUGGCAUAAUGGUCGUAAGCAACCCGUCUUGAAUCACCGACCAA
rnacentral:rRNA from 1 species